AAACUCAUCAUAGAUACCAGGACUAAAUUUAGUAUAUACGCCAGACGCGCGUCUCGUCUACAAAAGACUCAUCAGUGACGCUCGAAUCCAAAAAAGUUAGAAAUGCCAAAUAAAGUACGAAGUUGAAGAGCAUUGAGGACCAAAAUUCCCAAAAGUUUUGCCAAAUACAGCUAAGGUAAUCUAUGCCUGAGGAAGAAAAGCCUUAGUAUUUCAAAAAAUUCAAACAUUUGUAAACAGUAAAUCCAUAAAUAUAACCAUAUCAAUGACAAUUCAUGUCAGCACAAAAAGUGCUGACUACUGGGCUUGUGAUACCCUCGGGGAAACAAAUCUCCACCAGCAGUGGCAUCGACCCAGUGGUUGAAAAUAAACUCCUCAUAGAUACCAGGACUAAAUUUAGUAUAUACGCCAGACGCGCGUCUUGUCUACAAAAGACUCAUCAGUGACGCUCGAAUCCAAAAAAGUUAAAAAUGCCAAAUAAAGUACGAAGUUGAAGAGCAUUGAG
rnacentral:lncRNA from 1 species